ACCUACUGUUUAAUUUUGAGGGUUCGUUUUUACGAAUACUCAAAAUUAGCACUUUUAGCAACAGAAUAAACUGAACGCAUGUGAAGUUUGUUUGUUGGCGCUGUGCGUUAGCACUUUAAGCAACGGGAUUUAUCCGUUGGCGCCGUGCUUUAGCACUUUGAAAACUGCAUAUAUAUUUAGUGAUAUGACAUCUAAUUUGUAAUAUAUAAAGCUGAUAACUUUUUAAAAUUAUCAAGUUGAUAGACUUUAAUCUAUCAAACCUUUUUAACUGGUCAA
rnacentral:misc_RNA from 1 species